rnacentral:rRNA from 1 species
AGUGAACGCUGGCGGUAGGCCUAACACAUGCAAGUCGAACGGCAGCACAGUAAGAGCUUGCUCUUACGGGUGGCGAGUGGCGGACGGGUGAGGAAUACAUCGGAAUCUACUUUUUCGUGGGGGAUAACGUAGGGAAACUUACGCUAAUACCGCAUACGACCUACGGGUGAAAGCAGUGGAUCUUCGGACCUUGCGCGAUUGAAUGAGCCGAUGUCGGAUUAGCUAGUUGGCGGGGUAAAGGCCCACCAAGGCGACGAUCCGUAGCUGGUCUGAGAGGAUGAUCAGCCACCCUGGAACUGAGACACGGUCCAUGCUCCUACGGGAGGCACCAGUGGGGAAUAUUGGACAAUGGGCGCAAGCCUGAUCCAGCCAUACCGCGUGUGUGAAGAAGGCCUUCGGGUUGUAAAGCCCUUUUGUUGGGAAAGAAAAGCAGCAGGUUAAUACCCCGCUGUUCUGACGGUACCCAAAGAAUAAGCACCGGCUAACUUCGUG